rnacentral:tRNA from 3 species
GCUGGAGUAGCUCAGUUGGCAGAGCACGUCCUUGGUAAGGACGAGGUCGGCGGUUCGAGCCCGCUCUCCAGCUCCA